rnacentral:rRNA from 1 species
AGUGAACGCCGGCGGUAGGCCUAACACAUGCAAGUCGAACGGCAGCACAGGAGAGCUUGCUCUCUGGGUGGCGAGUGGCGGACGGGUGAGGAAUACAUCGGAAUCUACUUUUUCGUGGGGGAUAACGUAGGGAAACUUACGCUAAUACCGCAUACGACCUACGGGUGAAAGCAGGGGAUCUUCGGACCUUGCGCGAUUGAAUGAGCCGAUGUCGGAUUAGCUAGUUGGCGGGGUAAAGGCCCACCAAGGCGACGAUCCGUAGCUGGUCUGAGAGGAUGAUCGGCCACACUGGAACUGAGACACGGUCCAGACUCCUACGGGAGGCAGCAGUGGGGAAUAUUGGACAAUGGGCGCAGGCCUGAUCCAGCCAUACCGCGUGGGUGAAGAAGGCCUUCGGGUUGUAAAGCCCUUUUGUUGGGAAAGAAAUCCAGCUGGUUAAUACCCGGUUGGGAUGACGGUACCCAAAGAAUAAGCACCGGCUAACUUCGUGCCAGCCGCCGCAGUAA